rnacentral:rRNA from 1 species
AAGAUUAAGCCAUGCAUGUCUAAGUAUAAGCAACUAUACUGUGAAACUGCGAAUGGCUCAUUAAAUCAGUUAUCGUUUAUUUGAUAGUGCCGUUUACUACUUGGAUAACCGUGGUAAUUCUAGAGCUAAUACAUGCACAGAGCCCCGACUUCGGAAGGGGUGUAUUUAUUAGAUAAAAAACCAAUGCCCUUUUUUGGGCUAGAUGGUGAAUCAUGAUAACGCAACGAAUCGCAU